GACGUCCAAUUCCUUUGAAAUAAGGAGGCCUGUCAGUGAAUGCUCAAUUCAAACUACAGUGAUUGGGCACCGCUACUUUACGCCUACUAAUAGAAGUCAAAUAAGAAUCAAUUUCUCCUCUUGGAGAAGUGUUAGAACCAUUGUUUGUACAUCCUUCUCCCGAGUAUACCCAUUCCUCCAACUGUGAAAGAUUUCAGUCAUCAUGUAAAAGAUGCCACUUCAUCAAUUCAAGUAGGAAUAUAGAAUUCAAUCUGAACGGAACGGAACGGAACGGAACGGUAUUGUCUUCAUCUGAAAGGGUGACGUCCACUGGGGGAGAGGAGGAGGGGUACGCUCCGCCUGAGCCCCUCCCUGGACGGGUGACAUCAGCCGGGCUGGCCGCUGGCCUGCCGGAGCUCAGGCGGGCAGCUCUCUCUCUCUCUCUCUCGCUCACGAAGCCUUUAGCGGCAGCGGUGCUAAAAACUUAAAAAAAAAAAAAAAAAAGCGUCGCGUCGAACGACCGCAGCUUCUGCGGAGGCCCGGCGGAAGCAGACGAAAGGCAACGCGAAGCACCGAGUCGGGAUGACGGGAGGACGCCGCCGCUGAGGCGGCACAAGAAUCAUGGCCGCCCAUCGGAUCAGAGCGUCGGCCAAUAGCAACGCCUCGCUGCCUCGCUGCAGGUCCGAGGGGACGCUGAUCGACCUCGGCGAGGGCGUCUCCGAAUCCACUCUAGUUGAUGUCAAAGUGCCUUCUCCCAGUGCCUUACGCUUGGACACCAGCGCCUCUUUGGGCACGGCCCGGGAGGUGGUGGCCAUCAAAGACUACUGCCCGUCCAGCUUCACCACGCUCAAGUUCUCCAAAGGCGACCGUCUCUACGUACUGGACGCAUCGGGCGGCGAGUGGUUGUACGCCCACAACAACACGGAGAUGGGCUACAUCCCGGCCGCCUACGUCCAGCCCGUCGGCCUGCGAGACUCCUCCUUCGGCGACGCCGUCGAGGAGACUGCUUCGGAAAUGGACCUUCUCGGGGAGUGGCUUCCGACGCCCGCCCCUUUCCGCAACGGGAAUCCUUUUACCUCCACCAACCCUUUCCUGCGCGGGGUCCCCCAGAGCCCGCCGGACCAGAACGGCGAGCGGAAUUCGACGGACCUCCUUCUCUUUGACGCGCCGUCGGAAUCCUGCACCGCCGACUCGGACGGUUUCGCCGGCGCAUUUAACCCCGCGGGAGCCGGGCUCCGGAGGGACAACCCUUUUUUCAGAAGCAAGCGGUCCUACAGUUUGUCCGACAUGUCACUCCUGCAGGCCCGGUCGGACGACCCCGCCGGUUUCUUCGGCGGCCUGAAAGCCCCGGCGCCGGAGCAGUUCCAGAGCCGGGAGGAUUUCCGGACGGCGUGGCUCAACCACCGCAAGCUGGCCAGAUCCUGCCACGACUUGGACUCUCUGGGCCAGAACCCGGGAUGGGGUCAGACGCAGCCGGUGGAGACCAACGUGGUCUGCCGGCUGGACGGCUCGGGGGGCGCCGUUCGUCUCCCGGACACCGACAUCGUGGUCCACGUCCCCGAGGGACACGUGACGGAGGGGGACACCCAGCAGAUCUCCAUCAAAGCUCUCCUAGACCCGCCUCUGGAGCUGAACAACGACCGCUGCACCACCUCCGGCCCUGUGGUGGAGCUCAAGCUCAGCAACAUGGAGACCAAAACCGGCAUCACGGUGGAGAUGAAGGUCUCAGUGGAGGUGAGGGCGGAAAAGCGGGAGAGCACGCGCAUCCUCUGCGUCAGGAGCGACUGUAAAGAGGGACCUUACGCCCCCGUCUCGCAGACUCACCUGUACGGGGACACGGUCCGGGUCUCCUUGGACAACUUGGAACCCUGCAUGUACAUUUGCGUGACGGCGCAGUCCCCAAGCGCUUCUCCGGACUCCACCGUGUGGGAUCACGUGGCCAAGAAGAUCACGCUGGGGGUGUACGGACCCAAACACGUUCACCCCUCCUUCAAAACGGUGGUGGCCGUCUUCGGCCACGACUGCGCUCCCAAGUCGUUGCUGGUGAACGAAGCGGGCAAGCAAGGGCGGGCGUCGCCGCCCGUGGCCUUGCAGCUGUGGGGCCGACACCAGUUCGUCCUGGACCGACCCCGGGACCUCCUGCUGGGGAUGUACUCCAACAUGGCCAACUACGAGGUGAAGGCCACGGAGCGGGCCAAAGCGGUGCGGGGUUUCCAGCUCAAGCUGGGUAAAGUCAGCCGCCUGGUCUACCUGAUCAGUUCCCGCGACGGCGCCGAGGUUUCCGACUUCACCCUGAGGAUCCAGAUUAAGGACGAGCAGGGCGCCAUGCUGGCCCAGUUUUGCGUUCAGACGCCCGCGCCGCCUCCCAAGACUGGUCCCAAGACCUCGGCGCAGCGUCGCUUCCUGAAGAAGAAAGAAGUGGGCAAGAUCGUCCUCUCUCCGUUGGCAGUGGCCGCCAAGUACCCGGUCUUCCGGGACUGCAAGAUCACCGACCUGAGGUUCGGAAAACUGAUCAAGACGGUCGUCCGGCAGACGAAGAACAGCUACCUGCUGGAGUACAAGAAAGGAGACUUUGUUGCGCUUCUGAGCGAGGAGAAGGUCAAGUUGAAGGGACAGUUGUGGACCAAAGAAUGGUACGUGGGCUACUACCAGGGCCGCGUGGGACUGGUCCACAGCAAAAACGUGCUGCUGACGGGUAAAGUCAAGCCCGUUUAUUUCAGCGGGCCCGAGCUCACCGCCUCCUCCUUGCUGGAGCAGGUUCUCAGGCCCUGCAAGUUCCUCACCUACAUCUACGCCUCGGUCCGCACCGUCCUGAUGGAGAACAUCGGCGACUGGCGGGCCUUCGCCGACGCCCUGGGUUACCGGAAUCUGCCCGUCACGCACUUCUGCCGGACGCAGCUGGACAGCGAGCCGGAGAGGGUGGCCUGUGUUCUAGAGAAGCUGAAGGAGGACUGCAACAACGCCGACAGCAAAGAGCGAAAGUCCUUCCAAAAGGAGCUCCUCACGGCUCUGCUCAAGCUGGACUGCCAGGGCCUGGUGGCCCGUCUGCUGAUGGAUUUUGUGCUGCUGACCACGGCGGUGGAGGUGGCGGGACGCUGGCGCGAGCUGGCCGAGCGCCUGGCCAAGGUGUCGCGACGGCAGAUGGACGCCUACGAGGCGCCGCACCGCGACAAGAACGGCGCGCUGGACGGCGAGGUCGGCGAUUUCUCGCACGCCGCCGCCGCCGCUAAGCUAACCGGGGUAACCGGCCUUUUGACAGUGGAUCCGUCCGCUCGCUGUUCAGGCCAUGUGGAAGCCGGCGUACGACUUCCUGGUGACGUGGGCGUCGCAGAUGGGCGACAGCUACCGCGACGUGAUCCAGGAUCUGCACGUGGGCCUGGACCGCAUGAAGAGCCCCGUCACCCGACGCUGGAAGCACCUGAGCGGCGCGCUGCUCCUGGUCCAUUGUCUGGACGCCCUGCGGGGCGCCGCCUUCGCCCACGGCCGACAGCCCGACGGAUGACGCGCCGCCGCCGCCGCCGCCGCGCUUUUCCUCUCGCUUCGUGGUUGCCGCCUCUGCCGCCGCCUUUUGCUCUAGUUGCCAAUAAAGUCAAAAGGUUUUGGCUCCUUUUACGCGCGAAUCCACAAUUCGUUAUUCAGAAAUUGAUACGACAGCUCCCUCUAGUGCUACGUGACUAAAUUCAAUGUUCAACCCUUUCACGCACCCACUUCUACAUUGGUUGCCGUUGUCCAAUCCCUUUUGACUGGAAUGUCUUGCCCAGUCAAUGAUGGCCGAUGGCGGAGCCGGGUGGGGGGAGGUGGUCGGGGCCACCCCACGCUGAGUCCUAGCCACCCUGGACGGACCCCAACCCGAUGCAACCAUUGCAUCACAGCUGUCACCGACGUGCGGGACCUUUCCUGCGCUGCGACGGCACUACCGAACACUUUAGAUUGGCGCACCCCCGGCUGCUAUUUUCUUGGCUUGACCAGCAGUCUGAUCCACCACGGAGUGCUGACUGGAUGUGUGACAACAGAUGUUCCUGAAAGGGAGACUCUGCACCCAUUGCCCGGUGGACCAAUAGGACCUUCAGACAUAUCCAAAUCAUGAGACCGGUGCAGCCACAUCUGAAGCUAUCCCAGACCGCUCCAGGGUGACAGGACCGCGUGGUACCAUAAACACUCAAUGCUCGCAGAGCCAAGACUGCUUUGCAUGCAGGCAUUUUGGCCUCCCAAACAUAGUCAGUGUGGGUUCCACCAUCCAUGAUGAUAGACUGAGGAAUCUGGGUGUUUUGAGUGUGAGCAAAGUCCUUGGACAUGGUAGAUUUUGUAAAUACAAACCACCACAAUGGCAGAAUCCAGUUGUGGUGAGAUGAAUGAUCCUUCCAGUGAUGUAUUUUUAAAAGAAAGCUGCACUUAAGGCUUUCAUAUUUUCAAUUUUGUAUGUUCUUUGCUCUGUCUGCACUUUUGAGCGUUUGUUGCCAGUGCCACGGAAAAAUGGGCAUCUGCAGGAAUGAUGAUGAUGAAGUUGCGUGCAUGCACACUGCUUGUGAAAAUCUAUGCAUGGCAUUAAAAAAAAAAUCGAAAAGAAACAUAUUCAUUGAAUAUUAGACAAUCUAAUGAAUUAGACCAGUACUUCUCAAAUAGUGGGGCGCGCCCCGGCGCAGAGCGAUGCCAGGGGGGGCGCAUGUGACCUUUUUUUUUUUUUUUUUUUUUCUGCCGUACUGGAAUAAAGUGUACUUGCGCAUCCACUCAGUGGGUGGCAGUGGUGCUCUCAUUUUCAGAGUGCGUGCAGUAUUUUUGAACUAAGGAAGAGCACUCAUCACACAGAAAACAAAUAUGAAGAGCAGUGCGCCGCCGCCGUUUUCCGACCGGACUCACUCACGCAGCGACCCACUGUCUUGUCCGGUUCUCACGCCGCCGCCCGAUAAGUGCCAUUUUCGGCUUGGGAUCGUCACGACGAACGCCCUCACCUACGGUUCUACCUCGGCCGCCGAGAAUGCGCUUUGUUCGUGCCGUUUGCCUUUUAGCUUUGACUUUUAAUACUGUGGGUGAUGAGGAAAGACUGUUUACUGUGUCUAAAAAUAAUUAUAGCGGACCGACAGAAGCCAAAUCAAUUAAAACGCCACUUAAAGACAUUCGACCCCAAUCUCAUUGAUAAGCCGCUUGAUUGUUUUUCAGCGAAAACGUGCCAAAUAUUGCCAACAAUCGUCCUGCUUUGUCAGUUAUAUCAGUAAACCAGUGAGCAUUGUUAGCAUGCUCAUUGCAAAAUGACUCCACACCAUUGCAAAGGAGGUAAUACUGAGUGUGAGCAGCAAAAAUAAAAACUGUCCUUCUGUUCAAGUACACUUUUUUUCCUUUAUUCAUUUUUGGUUUUUUUCGGUCAAAUUUUUUGGCAUAUUGUCCUCAUGAGUGAAUGUUUCUAAUCAAUUUGAAUUUGUUAUUAUUUACUGAUUUUAUUACAUUUUAUUUUUCAGUACCAAAUGGUCAAAAAUGUACCUUGAGUGUAUUUUUACAGUUUGAAUGUGACUUUUUUUUAAUUCGGGCAAAUUGAUGCACGUCAAGUCUUCUGUUACAAACAAAACAAUGUUAAUAAAGUUAUACUUUAUUAUAAGUUGAUCUAUGUUACCUUUUUUCUUUAUUAGAAAAAAGGGACACAAUAUUAGGCAGAUGCGUAUUUAUGAUAGUAAUUUUAUAGACAAAUAAUACUAUUUACAGUGGCGGCAGAGAGUUGGGGGGGGCGCGAAACAUUUACGUCUUGCUUGGGGGGGCGUCGCAGAAAAUAAUUGAGAAGCACUGAAUUAGACCAAUAAUUUGCAAUGUAACUCAGUGAGUGAUGGGUGUCCAGCCAAUGAUAUGAUACGUUUCACUGACUUGCCAUAAACAAAGACUAUGUUACUCCCCCCCCCCCCACUUUUGCAAAUUUUUUACACCCCCAAGGUUUUGACAGGAAGUGACCCAAGACCAAUAGGAAGUGACUGGGAUUGCCCUAAAAUAAACAGGAAGUGGCACAAUGAAUUGAGGCAUAAACGCCCCAAACGAACAGCAUGUGAUCCCUGAAUAUCCCAAAAUCAACAGAAAGUGACCUGCAAAUGAGCAGCAAGGAAGGACAGAGCAAAAGACAUAACACUUUCCAGAAAUGGCAUUUUAUCAUUGGUUAAUUUAACAUGACAUAGGAUAAAACAAACUUGACAGCGAGAGUCCAAUAAAGUGGCGGUGGUACGAUCGUCCCGGUUUACGGGAAGUCCGCGAAGGUACGUCACAGCCCAUUUGGCCAGCGGUAAAGAGUUUUGUUUUUUUUUUGUUUUUAGUGUGGUCGAGUGCUGGGCUCCAGCAGGACUCGCUUGGGCGGCGGCGGGGCGGCGCACUGCGGGUCGCGCUCGCCCGCCGUCGCCCGCUUGGCGCCUCGGCCCUGGCCGUUGAGCGAGCCCCUCUGCCACUUGCACAGGUCGCCGUUGAGGAUGUCCUGGAUGUGCUGCACGAUCAGGUUGAUGGCCACUGAAGAAAAGAAAAGCAAAGCAACGUCAUCAAUCCUCUUUGAGCGCCGUCGACGCCGUUUGGAUCUCACCCAUGUUGUCGACCCCCCGGGGAAUGAUGACGUCCACGUACUUCUUGGUCUGAAAGCAGGAGAUCCAGAAAAACAAAAGCCUUUUAACUCCACGUCCUUCUGCUGUGAAUUGAAAUGAAUUUUUCAAAAUGAGACGUCCAAUCCAUUUGAAGUAGGAGCAAAACCUGUUAGCAGUAAAUAUUCUUCAGGUGUGGUCACUUGGUCAUUUCCUUUUUAUUUCUAGCAGAAAUUGACUCUAGUCAUCAACGGCAGCCCCAUGUGACACCAAUGUUGUGGAAAAACAAAACCCAGUUCGCACUUUCAGUGACGGACGUUCAAUCACACUGUGUCCGAUCAUCCCUCGGCCACAAGUCGAAAUAGGUUUAUGGCUAGCAGGCGUCCAAUCCAUUUGAAGUCGGAAGGACGUCGGUACAUUCGCUGCCAGCCUCCCGCUUCAAGCAGACUGGACGACUAGUGCCAUCAAUGGAAUAAAUAGCAGAUGCUUUAAGCUAGUUAUGACUUCAUUUGAAUGUCAAAGACCGUGACUUUAAUGGGAAUGUCACCCCAACGUGGCCGCCCUGACGCCAUUUUGCUCGGGGAGAUUAUUUCACGCUUCCGCUGCAAGUUUUGACAUCAGAUCUGAUCGAAGCGGAAGCCGGCGGUUCAUUGGCCCGCUUCGAAAGUACGGGACGUCAACGGCGAGUAGGAAAAGCGGCGCUUACGGGCAAGCAGAACUCCUCAAAGGCGGGCUUGACGAAGGUGGUGUACUGCGACAGGAUCUGCUCCAGGUCCCGGCCUCGGCUCAUGUCCCGGAGCACUGACGCCCCCGCCGGAAAAACAAAGGUCGAACGGAGCGGCGGAAAAGUCAAAAUCGGACGUACCUCUGCGAGACAGCCGCACGUCCGAGUCGGUGUCCACGAAGAGCUUCAUGUGGAACAUGUCUCGCACUUUCUGCAGGUAGAAAACCAGGAUGCCCUCCAGGAGGACCACGUCAGCCGGGUAUACCGUCAUCCGCUCCGCCAACCUCCACCCAGAGACGGAGCAAGAGAAAGCCACCGUUUAGACUGUACAACAUAAAUUAUUUUUAUACAACUAGAAGGAUUUUAAUUCUUUUUCUGCCGAUUCCGACCUGGAGUGGGUGACAAAGUCGUAGGUGGGGACUUGGACCGCUCUGCCCUCCACGAUGUCCUUCAGCGUCUUGUACAUCAAUUCGUUGUCGAAGGCUUCCGGGUGAUCGAAGUUGUACUGGCCCUUGAGGGCUUUGGCCUUCUGCUCGGCGGUCAGCACGCGGUAGAAGCAGUCCUGGCUGAUGAUGGCCACUUUCCUCUGGUGGUGGUCCACCUUGUUCUGGCCCAGAAGCUCCAUGAUCUUGGCGCACACCGUCGACUGGCCGGACAUAAAAAGCGCCAUUGAAAAACGAUCGCGAUACUUUCUGCAUUUUCCCUGCUGACUCAUUGGCUGCCGUUGACGUCCAAUUCCACCCUUUUCGGUCAAAAUGAUUAGGAUGUCUCAAUGGCAGCGAGUUAACCCUUGAGAGUCGAAGGACGCGCCGGCGCGUCCUCAGCGCACGUCGUCUUUGAAGCGCCCUCGCGUUUUAAUUACGUCACCCACAUGCCGUUGGUUGGUCUCGUUUUAAAGUGCGGAAGUUGCGGUUUACUCUCGUUGUUAUUUGAAGUCAAUCGACCAACUAAAACGUGAGAUAUUGUCAUUUAAGUUUUAUAGUUUUAUUGUCCUCUCAAAAAAACACUAAAACGCUGCAUGGAUAAUUUGUUUAUGUCUAUAUUUCCAUCAUUUCUGGUCCUUUUUCAAAACGGAAGCUCCAUGAAAAAAAACACAAAUCAAACGAACCCUUUCGAAGUCACAGUGGAAGCACAACAUGCGUUUUUUUUUUUUUUUUUAAAUAAAUAUAACUGCCGUGCGAGGUUCCACCGAACGAGAGGGAGGAGUGUUCUGAAGCAGCGAGGUGGCGACUGACGGCCGUUUGAAUCGAGCGAGCGAGCGACUUUGUGUGACUUUGAGAAUGAACGGAUAACUAAAUUUAGCGCAAGCAAUUGUGCUUUUUGAUCAACGUGAGGAAGAGGAUGGUCCAAAUUCGUCAUCAUCGUCUUCUUCGGAAGAGUCCUCGAGUGAAGAUAGUGAUGGAUUUGAACACGUGGGUGACGCCAUCGACGAGCAGAGGUAAGCCAACCCACUUUUUUUUUUUUAUGCUGCUGAAAAAGUUUCUUUUGAAAGUUUCUUUUGAUAUUGCAAGACAAAGUUAAUUUUGAUGCAAUAUAAGUGUGUGUUUGUGUAUAUAAUAAUAAAAUGUGCAUAUCGGAUCAAAGUAUAAUUUGUGGUCUUCCUUCUAUAUGAAGAUUAGGGAUGUAGCACAUAUUCAGCUAUGGUAUUCUUUCUAUUGUCAUACAUAUAGAUUUCCAUUAUUAUUUAUUUCUGUAUAUAUUUUUAUUUUAUACUUUAUUAUUUUCAUAAAUACUGACUUUUUUUUUUAUGUACAUUUGUAGUGACAAUGAAAGUAAAGUGAAAUGAAAAUGGAAGGGUGGAAAGAGGACCGACACCCCAUGGAAGUGUGGGCUGUGUGAUGUAGCCCUGUGUCUAAUUCCAGGACGAAACUGUUUUUCGGAGUGGCAUGCCUGAAAAAAAUUUAACUUAUUUAUUGUAAAUAUUUUUGAAAAUACUUUUUUCCCCAAUGUUAUAUAUAUAUUUUUUCCCACAAUCAGUCUUCUCAAUUUGUGUAUAUAAAUGUGUGUUCAAGAAGCUUGAUUGUGUGUACAUAGUUUUCAUCAGGUGAUGGGCCGCAAUACCUAAACUCAUAAAGAGAUGGCCUCUAAACACUUGUUGUGUUGGAUGGUAUAUAUUUUUUCACUGUUCGGUCUGCUGUAAAUAACCUGUUUUGACUACAGCACGUAUAAAGGCAAAAAACGCCUAUGGCUAUACCUGUUGUUUAUGUUGAAUUGUCAAAUAUAAGACUAUUUAUUCUAAGUUUUUUUGGUUGAAUGUUCAUCCUAACAUGUUGAAUAAAUAUUACAAAGUUUCAAAACGGUUCGUUACGCAUGUUUGGUUGUCAAUUGGACAUCAAUAUGAAAAAUUUUGACAAAACGAUUUUGGAAUUUUUGGUCUUUUUGGGCCCAAAACGAUGAUUUAUAAUUGGUCAGUGAAGGAAACAACAGUUUGGACAUGAAGUUCAAGGUGUCACAAAAAAAGGGACCAAACCAGGCCAUCGUAAACAAUUCUUUCUUUGAAAUAUAAAGGCAACUUCAAAGGCAUGCAAAAUAAGACAAAAUAGGCCCAGACCUUAAAGGGUUAACAGUAAACAUCCUUCGGGUAAGGUCGCUAUGGUUCCUGUCUAUUUUAGUCACUUCCUAUUGAUUUGGGGGCAUUCCUGGGGGUCUUGCGGUUUAUUUAGGUCACUUCCAGUUGUGUCUGGGCCAUUUUUAGCCCACUUCCUGUUGAUUAACUUCAACGAGUGAACCUAAAGUCGACCCAGAACUGCCCAAAUAUAAACAAGAUGCAGAAGUUGAGCAACAUGCAAUUUGUCCAUUUUCUAAUCUUGGGGAAAAUGAUGACGACGGCGGGGACUGUUGUAAACUUGUUAGCUGGUAAAUGUACAAGUUGUCCGUCAUUGUGGACGGCAACAUUUAGUUUGGGCUCGGUGUACUUAAGGUUCUGUCCACCGAAUUUCAUUCUAGAGGCGAGCAAAUAAAACAAAUGGAGUGGCGAGAAAAUUAACGAAAUAUACAUGACGACAAAAUCGGUAUGAAAAGAAAGGACAGUUUGGGAAUAAAAUGGCUUAAACGUAUUAUUGCGGCUGUUAUUGUAGAUAGCAAGUGGGCGGGUAGGAAGGCGGCGCUAGCCGAGCCUAAGCUAAUGCUAGCGACGAGCUAUCGCGAGCAACCUUGCCGCUGGCGGUUCCCCCGCUGACGCCGAUGAGGAACGGUCGGUGAUGCGGCCUCUCUCCGGCCUCCUCUGCUGCGACUGCGGGGGCCUCCAUCGCAGUCCCGAAAGAGCCAAAGACCGGACGUGCUCACCUUUCGCUCGCUAGCCGGCGGCUAACUUUGUAGCAUUAGCAAACAAGCAGGUCGUCUUCUCGCGAGAAGUGACGAUGACCGGUGGUGCCUUGCCUGGCACGACCAGACUGUUCUCCCUGUAUUUUUCAAACACUGACAGAAAUAGCUGGAACAGCGGUGAGUCUGGUGUACCAGGCAAGGUGGUGCCGGCGGGUGGACGUGACAUUGAUUGAAAAACUGUGAUGGCUUUGUUUUUCUCUCAACAUACCUCUAAAUAACCCUUGAUAGGAAAGUCGUUGAACUUAUUGGCCGCCUUUGACGGCUCUACACGUCCAAUCCAUUUUGAUGACGUUGAAAAAUGACCAUUUACAGCCACUCCUCCCAGUUUUAGCAUUGG